rnacentral:rRNA from 1 species
UACGUAGGAGACGAGCGUUGUCCGGAGUUACUGGGCGUAAAGGGUGCGCAGGUGGCGGCGCGCGUGGGGGGUGAAAUCGCCCGGCUUAACUGGGCGGGGGCCUUCCAGACGGCGUGGCUUGAGCAGCGGAGGGGGACGUGGAAUUCCGGGUGGAGCGGUGAAAUGCGUAGAUAUCAAGUGGAACACCAGUGGCGAAGGCGAGUCUCUGGACAUUUCCUGACGCUGAGGCACGAAAGCCAGGGGAGCAAACGGG